AUUGAACGCUGGCGGCAUGCUUUACACAUGCAAGUCGAACGGUAACAGCACUUCGGUGGCUGACGAGUGGCGAACGGGUGAGUAAUACAUCGGAACGUGCCUAUUAGUGGGGGAUAACUACUCGAAAGAGUAGCUAAUACCGCAUGAGAUCUAAGGAUGAAAGCAGGGGACCUUCGGGCCUUGCGCUACUAGAGCGGCUGAUGGCAGAUUAGGUAGUUGGUGGGAUAAAAGCUUACCAAGCCGACGAUCUGUAGCUGGUCUGAGAGGACGACCAGCCACACUGGGACUGAGACACGGCCCAGACUCCUACGGGAGGCAGCAGUGGGGAAUUUUGGACAAUGGGCGCAAGCCUGAUCCAGCAAUGCCGCGUGCAGGAUGAAGGCCUUCGGGUUGUAAACUGCUUUUGUACGGAACGAAAAGCCCUCUUCUAAUACAGGAGGGUCAUGACGGUACCGUAAGAAUAAGCACCGGCUAACUACGUG
rnacentral:rRNA from 1 species